rnacentral:lncRNA from 1 species
AGUCGUUGAAGAGGCUGUUGGCGAUGGCGCCGCAGGGCGCGAUGGGCAGGCCGGCCGCGCUGCGCUGGUAGGGGGCGCACUCGUUGACAGGGUGGCGCAGCGCGCUGGGGAGUCCGCUCAGCUGCGCGUCGUCGCGGGACACGCCGUAGCGCCGGUUGUUCUGGUAGAAGUUGGUCAGCUCGUAGUAGAGGUACACUGGGCCCUGGAAGAGCUCGGGCAGCGAGAAG